UUCUGAGAAUCUGGUAUUUGAAAACCCGGUGUUUGUCUUGUAAUCUGUCAGCCUGAUCUGUCUCAACUAAAUGUCAAUCUGAUUUGUCUUGGAGUAGAAUAAUUAAAAAGGUUACGGGACACUUGAUUAUUUAAACUAAGUUUAAAUUAUAAAGAAAAUAAAUUUAAAAAUAAGUUUUAAAAGAUGAAAGAAAAUAAAGUAUAAAAUAAACUUAGUUAAAUCUAUAAAGUAAAUUUAAUUAUAUUUAAAAAAUAAAUUCAAAUAAAUUCAUAAUAAACUGAAUAAGUUUAGAAUAAAUUUAUUUCAAAUUCAUUUAGUAAAUAUAUUAAAAUUUAUUAGAUAAAUUUAAUUUUUGAAAAUAUUCAAGUGUCUCGUCUCCAAUUAAAUCAUAGCUUCCAGAACAAACUAAAUUGAACCCUUGAACUUGAACUUAUAUCCAUAAUCAGUUAAAUCCUCUUAGAUUUAUAUUCUAGAUUUUAACUUAAAUUUAAAUCAUAAACUAUACAAAUUUAAAUAAUAAAUUUAUAAAAUUUAUGAUAAACUUAAUAAAGUCUAAGAGUAAACUUUACAAGUCCAAAAUAAAUUUAAACAAAUUUAUUAAAUGAAUUUGAUAAAGUUUAUAAAGUAAAUUUAAUUAAGUUUAUAAGAUAAAUUUAAUUAAUUCAUAAUAAACUCAAUUAAUAAGUUUAAAAUAAAUUAAGUCAAAUUUAUAAAAUAAACUUAUUAAAAAAUAAAGUAUAAAUUUAUAAGUCCCGGUCCAAAGUUCAGUAUCCGACAGAUAAUCCUUACUUAGGCCUACGGACAAAUUCAGCAACACAAACCGGAAGAACAUUUCCCCUAAUCAAAUAUCAAAAGCUAGGUUCUUGAUUUUCCGUACGAUAAGGAUCCUGAUUUGAAUAUCAAUCAACCUCGCUCUGAUACCAAUUGUUAGGUCCAAAGUAUCGUAGAAGGGGGGGUUGAAUACGAUACUCACUACAAUUUAAAAUUCUUUCGAAUCUUGCGGAUAAAUAAAUUGCAGUCCUGUAAUGGGUUUCGUGUUCCGGAUAUUUAUUGGGUCGGUUUCUGAGGAUAUGAAAAUAUUAAACCAACACACAAUAUUUUCCAAGGUAUAUCUGUAUAUUGAUAAAUACCUCGAAGGGUGCUAUAAAUCCAAACCCGAAGGUUGGCUACAAUGACCACUCCUCUAAAUAUUACAAGCCCUAUCCACUACAAAUAUUUAUGGUACAAAACUAGGCUAGGGUGUGUGUAUAUUUGAGAGAGUUUGUGCAUAGCACUUGGCCAUCCAUCCCGAAGGAUGAUGUGUCAUUGNNNNNNNNNNNNNNNNNNNNNNNNNNNNNNNNNNNNNNNNNNNNNNNNNNNNNNNNNNNNNNNNNNNNNNNNNNNNNNNNNNNNNNNNNNNNNNNNNNNNNNNNNNNNNNNNNNNNNNNNNNNNNNNNNNNNNNNNNNNNNNNNNNNNNNNNNNNNNNNNNNNNNNNNNNNNNNNNNNNNNNNNNNNNNNNNNNNNNNNNNNNNNNNNNNNNNNNNNNNNNNNNNNNNNNNNNNNNNNNNNNNNNNNNNNNNNNNNNNNNNNNNNNNNNNNNNNNNNNNNNNNNNNNNNNNNNNNNNNNNNNNNNNNNNNNNNNNNNNNNNNNNNNNNNNNNNNNNNNNNNNNNNNNNNCUCUCUCUAAAUAUACAUAUAUAUUUAUGCACAUAAUAUAAUAUAUAUAUACACUUAAAUAUAUAAAUGUUUAUGUAAAAUAUAAAUACAUAUAUUAUAUACAUAUAUAUUUAUUUAAAUAUAUAUACAUAUAAAUAUACAUAUACAUAUGUUUAAAAACAUAUAUACAUAUAUAUUAUAUAUAUUAUAUUUAAUUAAAUAUACAUAUAUACAUAUAUAAUUAUAUUUGUACAUAUACAAAUAUAUAAGUGCACACAUAUAUAAAAUGUCACUUCCUGAUAUGGCUUUCUGUGGAAGCUUUGACAUAUGGCAUUUGAGCAGUAAGCUUUGGCAUAGCUGGCAUUUGACUUGGCUUGGCUUGGCUUUGGAACAAAUGACUUGAUAUGACUGGAUCAAUUCUUCGAUCGAUAAAUACUUUGCAAAGCUCCGUACGUGCUGACGCUUAGUGCACUGGUCUGGUUCACAAGCGACUAACACUGAAGUUAAACAUUGUACCGUCUUUGUCAGCAAACAUUGAUCAGUCGGUUCCGGGUUAGUUUAUGCUUCAGUUUGUUGAUUAUAAAUAACCAACCAAGAUAUAUAGAAAUAUCUUGCUUCAGGGGUUGCACUGAAAUCUUUCGAGUACUUGGACAACAUCUUCAUUGCUUCCACAAUCUUGAAUACUUCAAUCUUUAUUCUUCACUGAGGCAUGAACAUAUUAAUGAACUUCUUCCAGUGAACUUAUUCCUUCAAGACUGUAGAUGGCUUCUUCAACCUUUGUCUUCGUAUCUUCCGAUUCCGGUGCAGGCGUAGUGUUAUUUACUUGUCCUGUUCUAUUGUUGAGUUAUCAUCCCUAUGUAACAGAUAGGGUUGUCUUUACAUUUAGACUUACAAUCUCCCCCUAUUUGUUUGUUAAUCAUAACAAGCAAAUCCUCUGGAGGAUAACUCAACUAACACUAGAAAAAGUAAAGUCCUGGACUAGUAAAUAAUGCUACAAAGUUUCUGGAUCAUAUAGUACAUUUCCAGAUUUCAUGAAUAGAAAUAACAAAUGUGCAUAUCACCUUUAUUUCUCUGGUCCUUUCUUACCUGCCAGAUAAUCCUCAUAGUUUGUCUUGAAGAGAAUUCAAAACAUUCCAUUAUGCAAAGAAUAAUCAGCAGAUUCAUUGAAUUCUUCAGUGGUAAUGAAUAAGUUCCUGUCUAUCACUUACUGAAGAAUAGAUGUAUCACCUUAUACUUCUCCUCCCGCUCGACAUUGUAAGUGAUAAAAUCACUUCCAAAGUCCUUAACUACCUUUACACGCUUGCUCCUUCUAGGUUCCUCAACUUCAUUAGGAGUAGAGCUACUAGCAGGAUUUGCCCCCACAUUUGUCAUCUUUUUCACAUACUUGACAUUUAGUUUUCUUAUCAAUGGCAUGCUUUGGAAUCAACUCUAAGUUCAUCAUAUUCUUUAGAGCACCAAAAUUUAAAAUGACCAAGCCUAGAGUGCCACAAAUCGGAUGAUUCAAUAUUAUUAACAGAAGGAGAAGCAAUAUCAUUAAUAAAACCGCCUAAAACAGGCUCCACAUUUAUUAAAAACAAGCCGUCUGACAAGUAGCCCUUGCCAAAAAACACACCAGUCUGAGUAAUAACUACUUUAUUACACUUUAAAGAAAGUUCAAAGCCAUUUUUAACUAAACAACUUCCACUAAUAAUAUUUCUACGAAUCUCGGGAACAUGAUGCACUCUAGUAAGGGAUAGAACACGCCCUGAAGCAAACUUCAGGUCCACGUUUCCUAUUCCACGAACUUGAGCCGCACUAGCAUUCCCCAUCGUCACUGUCAUCCCAUGAGCCUGUUGAUAAGAUACAAACAGAGUAAUAUCAGCACAAAUGUGCACAUUAGCUCCCGUAUCAAUCAACCACUCAUUAGACAGAUAAGUGGAAAAUAGUUCAGGGUUGUACUUAACAUACCCGUCAUUGGUUUCAGAAGCAACAGCCUCACCAACAACCAUGUUAAGCACAGGCCCAUCAGUGGUUCCAAGCACAGUAUUUGCUUGUGCUACCACCUCAGCUUUCUUUGCUUUCUUUACAGGACAGUCCUUACUCCAAUGACCAACCUGUCCACAAGACCAACAUGGUUUGUUGGCCUUUGAUUUCUUAGCCUUGCCCUUGUCAGUUUUGGGCUUAGUGUUCACCUUCUUAGCGACAGACUUUCUUUUCUGUCCCACAGUCACUACAUUGACCUUCGAGCUACCAGAUUCAGUUGGCAUCACAUGUCCCUGUUUGGACUUGUGCUGCUCCUGCACAGAGAUGUCCAGCAUCAGGUUAGUCCAAGUGAUCUCUCCCUUCUGCCUUUUCAGGGAGAGUGCAAACUCUUCCCAAGACUUAGGGAGUUUUUCAAUCACAGACAUAACCAAAAACUUUUCAGGAAGGUCCAUUCCGGACUCCUUCAAAGCAUGCACCAACGUCUCAAACUCAUGCACCUGCUCAGUCAUGGAUUUUGUAUCCACCAGUUUGAAGUCCAGGAACUUAGCCACAGAAUACUUUUCCAACCCUUGCGAGUCAGUAUUGUGUGUCUGAUCAAGUUUCUCCCACAAGGUCUUAGCAGUGUAGGAGUCAGAUGAGUAAACAUCGAACAGAGUGUUCGUUAAGGCUGCUAGAAUAGCAGCCCUAGCCACCCCAUCCUUUUCCUCCCACAUAGCAUAGGCCUUAAGGGUUUCAGCCUUUUCCUGUACCACAACUGGUUUCUCAUACUGCAACACCGGCCAUAGACCCUUAACCGUAAGCCACAGUUUCAUCUUUUUCUGCCAACGAGAAAAAGAAACUCCCCCACCGAAUUUAUCAGGAAUACCUGAUAAAUCAAUGGGCUGUGGAAAACGAUACGUAGUCCAAUCGAUGUUACUAGUAACACCAGACCCAGAACCAGCACCACCACCAACAACAGAAUCCGCAAUCUCAUUAACCAUCUUGCUUACUACACAAUAUAACAGAUAAUCACUUCAAGAUUGUUGGGAGUCACAGUGAAAAUCACAGCAACAAUGUAUAGAGCAGUUAUAUUAUAUAAACAAGUGUAGGCCAACGAAACCACAACAAUAUAGCAUGCACGAAGAUCGUAUAUACAAUAAUCAGUGACUGAUAAAUUACAAGAAAAGAAGAGAAAGGCGCACCUUACACCGUCGCUAGAAUUAGUAUACAGAACAGCUGAGUCGCCUAGCCCUUCGAUGAAGACUAGACUGUUCUUGAAGUGAUUAUUGCCCCACUACGCUGUGAUGGGUAGUCGCAAUAUCGCUCCCAGGAUAAAACAGCACAGACCGAACCGCUCACAGACACGAGUACGAUCAACAGCGAUCAACACCUCAGUUCGCCCGAGAACAGUAUGUAUAUGUGUAUAUAUCGGAGUAGAUGGUGAGAGUGUAAGAGAGAAGAAUGAGAAUGGUGUUUGUGUUUUUCCCGUGCUACAACUCAAGUGUCGAGGCUCACUAUUUAUAGUGAGGCCAAGGCACCAACACACUGUCCAGAUUCAUUUGUCCAGGUUCAAUGAAUCUGUAUCUGUCAGACAUUCUGACCAGAUUCAUUUGUCCAGGUUCAAUGAAUCUGUAUCUGUCAGACAUUCUGACCAGAUUCAUUUGUCCAGGUUCAAUGAAUCUGUAUCUGUCAGACAUUCUGACCAGAUUCAUUUGUCCAGGUUCAAUGAAUCUGUAUCUGUCAGACAUUCUGACCAGAUUCAUUUGUCCAGGUUCAAUGAAUCUGUAUCUGUCAGACAUUCUGACCAGAUUCAUUUGUCCAGGUUCAAUGAAUCUGUAUCUGUCAGACAUUCUGACCAGAUUCAUUUGUCCAGGUUCAAUGAAUCUGUAUCUGUCAGAUAUACUGACCAGAUUCAUUUGUCCAGAUUCAAUGAAUCUGUAUCUGUCAGAUAUACUGACCAGAUUCAUUUGUCCAGAUUCAAUGAAUCUGUAUCUAUCAGAUAUACUGACCAGAUUCAUUUGUCCAGAUUAAAUGAAUCACAUUCUCAUUUCAAGCUCUUUCAAGCCACUGUAUUCAACUCUAUUUCUCAAUGGAUUUCACUAAGAAAAUGUCCCGGAAAUUACAUCAAGAACAUAUUAAAAAAUAUGCUUUAAACUUUCCAUUUUCUAACAAUCCCCCACAAAUCCAUAUAGAUAUGCAUAUUAGUCCUCAUCAUGACUUGUUUUUCAGAGUAGGUACCCUUCCGGGUUUGAACCCUCCUAAGUCCCCUACUUCGAUGGCUACCGGAUAUAGAUGGAUUGUUUCACCUUGAAUCUCUAUCCGUUGGGUGUAACCACACUCCAUAGACGACGACAAGUCAAAGGCUAUGGUGCCGAUCUACGGCUUUGAGACAUUAAUGGUCGUGUCUCGAUCCUGUUCGUCGAAUGUUUCAAGGAAUAACCCUUUCCUCUAAUUGCGACCUCACAAUUACAUUCGCUUAGCUGGGCAUCUCCAGAGAUGUACUGCAACCAUCUCGUCAAAUGACUUGACCCCAUUCAGAGUUCUAAAAACUCUUGCUAUACUUGCAGUGUCAGUACCUUUUAGGUUUGCAGGGGAUAGACUCAGAUGCAUAAGUAUCUACAUUGUAGUUAAAGGUACUACCGAUCCACCCUUACAGCUUGUUUACCACAUUGAAUACACUUUGAGGGAUCUCCUCUCAGAUGUAUUGGGUUCCCGCUGUAGAUGAAUCAUGAUGGGUUAUCAGUCCCAUCCCCAACCUUGACUUAAGGACAACAGCAUGCUCAAGCCCUUUAGUCAGUGGAUCAGCUAUGUUAUCUUGAGUUCCAAUGAACUCAAUAGCAAUAGUCCGAUCAGACACCAAACCCCUUAUAGACUUAAGUCUAACUUGGAUGUGUCUCUUUGUUUUAGCAUUAUACUUGACACUUCUGAUCUUGUCGAUAGUUGUACGGCUAUCACAAUGAACAGAAAUUGCCGGUAGCGGACGACUUACUACAGGUAACACAGACAUGAGUCCAUGUAACCAUUCAGCCUCCGUACCCGUGGCAUCCAAUGCACACAACUCGGCCUCAAACGUAGACCGAGUUACUAUAGUCUGUCUAGUCGACUUCCAGGAUACUGCUCCACCCGCAAGGGUAAACAGAUAUCCAGUCACUCCAUUGGAACCAGACUUCUUAGCUAUCCAACUUGCAUCACUAUAUCCCUCAAGCACACUCGGAUAUCUCCUGUAGUGCAACCCAAGAUAUAUGGUGCCUUUCAGAUAUCUAAGUACUCUAUCUAGAGCAUCCCAAUGAGUUCUGUUUGGACAGCUUGUAUAUCUUGCUAACUUAGACACAGAAUAUGUUAUAUCUGGUCUAGUACCAUUAGCAAGAUAUUGCAAACUACCAAUAAUCUGAGAAUAUCUUAACUGAGACACAGGUACACCUGAAGCAUUCUUGAUAAGAGCAACUUUAGGAUCAUAUGGUGUACUAGCAAUUCUACAAUUUGAAUAACCAUACUUCUCAAGUAUAGAUUUCUCUAUAUAAUGAGAUUGUGACAAGGUUAUUCCCUCAGUUGACUGAGUCAACUUGAGUCCAAGAAUCACAUUCGCCUCACCCAUGUCCUUCAUUUCAAAGUGUUUUUUCAAGAAAUUCUUUGUCUCGUUAAUAAUCUCAAUAUUGGUUCCAAACAGUAGUAUAUCAUCCACAUACAAGCACAACACAAUAUGUUCAUUUCCUUUAACCUUAUAGUAGACACACUUGUCAUUAUCAUUAACUAUAAAAUCAAAAGUCAAAACAGUGUCAUCAAACUUUUUGUGCCAGUCUCUAGGUGCUUGUUUCAAGCCGUAGAUGGAUUUGACUAACUUACAUACUUUGCUCUCAUUGCCAGAUGCAACAAAUCCCUCAGGCUGAUCCAUAUAAAUCUCUUCUUCAAGAUCACCAUGAAGAAAAGCUGUCUUUACAUCCAUUUGAUGGAUGAUAAGACCAUGUACGGAAGCCAAUGCUACAAGCAUUCGGAUCGUUGUCAAUCUUGCAACAGGAGAGUAUGUAUCAAAGUAGUCAAUACCUUCUCUUUGCCUAAAACCUUUAGCAACCAAUCUAGCUUUAUACUUAUCUAUUGAGCCAUCUGGUUUCAUCUUCCUUUUGAAGAUCCACCUACAUCCUAUAGUAGAACACCCAGGAGGGAGGUCAACCAACUCCCAUGUUCCGUUAGAAACAAUAGAGUCAAUUUCACUCUUCACAGCGCCUUUCCAGUGCCUAGAUUCCGAAGAAUCCAUGGCUUGUCGGAAAGUCAAAGGUUCGUCCUCGACAUUGUAAGUGAUAAAAUCACUUCCAAAGUCCUUAACUACCUUUGCACGCUUGCUCCUUCUAGGUUCCUCAACUUCAUUAGGAGUAGAGCUACUAGUAGGAUCUGCCCCCACAUUUGUCAUCUUUUCCACAUGAUCGGGAAUAGAACUAGAUGUGUGAGUAGGAUCAUCACUAGAAGAACUUUGAGGUAUACCAGUCUUCAUAGGGAACACAUCCUCAAAGAAUGUUGCAUCACGAAACUCAACUAUCGUGUUUGCCACUAUACCAUCUAUGUCAGAUUUUAAUACUAAAAAUCUCAUAGCUGUAGUGGUUUCGAGAUAGCCCAGAAAGAUACAAUCAACAGUUUUCGGCCCUAGUUUCUUUCUCUUGUGUUCAGGGACAAGUACCUUCGCAAGGCACCCCCACACACGAAGAUACUUUAGACUAGUUUUCCUGCCUUUCCAUAAUUCGUAAGGUGUCUUGUCCAUAUGUUUCAGAGGGACUCUAUUCAGAAUAUGGCAAGCCGUAUUCAGAGCCUCCCCCCACAUGUACUUAGGCAACCCCGAAUUAAUCAACAUACUGUUAAUCAUAUCUUUAAAAGUUCUGUUCUUUCGUUCUGCCACCCCAUUAGACUCAGGUGUAUAUGGUGGAGUCACCUCAUGAAUUAUACCAUUGCUCUUGCAAAAUUCAUUAAAGGUGUUUCCCGUAUAUUCACCACCUCUAUCAGAUCUCAAACGUUUAAGUACUUUACCAGUUUGUGUUUCAACUUCAGUUUUAAAUCUAAUGAAUUUUUCAAGUGCUUCAUCUUUAUGUUUAAGCAAAUAAACAUAACAAUAUCUACUACAAUCAUCUAUAAAGGUAAUGAAAUAUCUACAGUGUUCCUUAGUCAACACACCACCAAAUUCACAUAUGUCCGAGUGCACUAAAUCUAACAAGUCAGAAUCCCUAACCACACUAUGAAAAGGUUUCCUUGUUAGUUUAGCUGUCACACAUACUUGACAUUUAGUUUUCUUAUCAAUGGCAUGCUUUGGAAUCAACUCUAAGUUCAUCAUAUUCUUUAGAGCACCAAAAUUUAAAUGACCAAGCCUAGAGUGCCACAAAUCGGAUGAUUCAAUAUUAUUAACAGAAGGAGAAGCAAUAUCAUUAAUAAAACCGCCUAAAACAGGCUCCACAUUUAUUAAAAACAAGCCGUCUGACAAGUAGCCCUUGCCAAAAAACACACCAGUCUGAGUAAUAACUACUUUAUUACACUUUAAAGAAAGUUCAAAGCCAUUUUUAACUAAACAACUUCCACUAAUAAUAUUUCUACGAAUCUCGGGAACAUGAUGCACUCUAGUAAGGGAUAGAACACGCCCUGAAGCAAACUUCAGGUCCACGUUUCCUAUUCCACGAACUUGAGCCGCACUAGCAUUCCCCAUCGUCACUGUCAUCCCAUGAGCCUGUUGAUAAGAUACAAACAGAGUAAUAUCAGCACAAAUGUGCACAUUAGCUCCCGUAUCAAUCAACCACUCAUUAGACAGAUAAGUGGAAAAUAGUUCAGGGUUGUACUUAACAUACCCGUCAUUGGUUUCAGAAGCAACAGCCUCACCAACAACCAUGUUAAGCACAGGCCCAUCAGUGGUUCCAAGCACAGUAUUUGCUUGUGCUACCACCUCAGCUUUCUUUGCUUUCUUUACAGGACAGUCCUUACUCCAAUGACCAACCUGUCCACAAGACCAACAUGGUUUGUUGGCCUUUGAUUUCUUAGCCUUGCCCUUGUCAGUUUUGGGCUUAGUGUUCACCUUCUUAGCGACAGACUUUCUUUUCUGUCCCACAGUCACUACAUUGACCUUCGAGCUACCAGAUUCAGUUGGCAUCACAUGUCCCUGUUUGGACUUGUGCUGCUCCUGCACAGAGAUGUCCAGCAUCAGGUUAGUCCAAGUGAUCUCUCCCUUCUGCCUUUUCAGGGAGAGUGCAAACUCUUCCCAAGACUUAGGGAGUUUUUCAAUCACAGACAUAACCAAAAACUUUUCAGGAAGGUCCAUUCCGGACUCCUUCAAAGCAUGCACCAACGUCUCAAACUCAUGCACCUGCUCAGUCAUGGAUUUUGUAUCCACCAGUUUGAAGUCCAGGAACUUAGCCACAGAAUACUUUUCCAACCCUUGCGAGUCAGUAUUGUGUGUCUGAUCAAGUUUCUCCCACAAGGUCUUAGCAGUGUAGGAGUCAGAUGAGUAAACAUCGAACAGAGUGUUCGUUAAGGCUGCUAGAAUAGCAGCCCUAGCCACCCCAUCCUUUUCCUCCCACAUAGCAUAGGCCUUAAGGGUUUCAGCCUUUUCCUGUACCACAACUGGUUUCUCAUACUGCAACACCGGCCAUAGACCCUUAACCGUAAGCCACAGUUUCAUCUUUUUCUGCCAACGAGAAAAAGAAACUCCCCCACCGAAUUUAUCAGGAAUACCUGAUAAAUCAAUGGGCUGUGGAAAACGAUACGUAGUCCAAUCGAUGUUACUAGUAACACCAGACCCAGAACCAGCACCACCACCAACAACAGAAUCCGCAAUCUCAUUAACCAUCUUGCUUACUACACAAUAUAACAGAUAAUCACUUCAAGAUUGUUGGGAGUCACAGUGAAAAUCACAGCAACAAUGUAUAGAGCAGUUAUAUUAUAUAAACAAGUGUAGGCCAACGAAACCACAACAAUAUAGCAUGCACGAAGAUCGUAUAUACAAUAAUCAGUGACUGAUAAAUUACAAGAAAAGAAGAGAAAGGCGCACCUUACACCGUCGCUAGAAUUAGUAUACAGAACAGCUGAGUCGCCUAGCCCUUCGAUGAAGACUAGACUGUUCUUGAAGUGAUUAUUGCCCCACUACGCUGUGAUGGGUAGUCGCAAUAUCGCUCCCAGGAUAAAACAGCACAGACCGAACCGCUCACAGACACGAGUACGAUCAACAGCGAUCAACACCUCAGUUCGCCCGAGAACAGUAUGUAUAUGUGUAUAUAUCGGAGUAGAUGGUGAGAGUGUAAGAGAGAAGAAUGAGAAUGGUGUUUGUGUUUUUCCCGUGCUACAACUCAAGUGUCGAGGCUCACUAUUUAUAGUGAGGCCAAGGCACCAACACACUGUCCAGAUUCAUUUGUCCAGGUUCAAUGAAUCUGUAUCUGUCAGACAUUCUGACCAGAUUCAUUUGUCCAGGUUCAAUGAAUCUGUAUCUGUCAGACAUUCUGACCAGAUUCAUUUGUCCAGGUUCAAUGAAUCUGUAUCUGUCAGACAUUCUGACCAGAUUCAUUUGUCCAGGUUCAAUGAAUCUGUAUCUGUCAGACAUUCUGACCAGAUUCAUUUGUCCAGGUUCAAUGAAUCUGUAUCUGUCAGACAUUCUGACCAGAUUCAUUUGUCCAGGUUCAAUGAAUCUGUAUCUGUCAGACAUUCUGACCAGAUUCAUUUGUCCAGGUUCAAUGAAUCUGUAUCUGUCAGAUAUACUGACCAGAUUCAUUUGUCCAGAUUCAAUGAAUCUGUAUCUGUCAGAUAUACUGACCAGAUUCAUUUGUCCAGAUUCAAUGAAUCUGUAUCUAUCAGAUAUACUGACCAGAUUCAUUUGUCCAGAUUAAAUGAAUCACAUUCUCAUUUCAAGCUCUUUCAAGCCACUGUAUUCAACUCUAUUUCUCAAUGGAUUUCACUAAGAAAAUGUCCCGGAAAUUACAUCAAGAACAUAUUAAAAAAUAUGCUUUAAACUUUCCAUUUUCUAACAAUCCCCCACAAAUCCAUAUAGAUAUGCAUAUUAGUCCUCAUCAUGACUUGUUUUUCAGAGUAGGUACCCUUCCGGGUUUGAACCCUCCUAAGUCCCCUACUUCGAUGGCUACCGGAUAUAGAUGGAUUGUUUCACCUUGAAUCUCUAUCCGUUGGGUGUAACCACACUCCAUAGACGACGACAAGUCAAAGGCUAUGGUGCCGAUCUACGGCUUUGAGACAUUAAUGGUCGUGUCUCGAUCCUGUUCGUCGAAUGUUUCAAGGAAUAACCCUUUCCUCUAAUUGCGACCUCACAAUUACAUUCGCUUAGCUGGGCAUCUCCAGAGAUGUACUGCAACCAUCUCGUCAAAUGACUUGACCCCAUUCAGAGUUCUAAAAACUCUUGCUAUACUUGCAGUGUCAGUACCUUUUAGGUUUGCAGGGGAUAGACUCAGAUGCAUAAGUAUCUACAUUGUAGUUAAAGGUACUACCGAUCCACCCUUACAGCUUGUUUACCACAUUGAAUACACUUUGAGGGAUCUCCUCUCAGAUGUAUUGGGUUCCCGCUGUAGAUGAAUCAUGAUGGGUUAUCAGUCCCAUCCCCAACCUUGACUUAAGGACAACAGCAUGCUCAAGCCCUUUAGUCAGUGGAUCAGCUAUGUUAUCUUGAGUUCCAAUGAACUCAAUAGCAAUAGUCCGAUCAGACACCAAACCCCUUAUAGACUUAAGUCUAACUUGGAUGUGUCUCUUUGUUUUAGCAUUAUACUUGACACUUCUGAUCUUGUCGAUAGUUGUACGGCUAUCACAAUGAACAGAAAUUGCCGGUAGCGGACGACUUACUACAGGUAACACAGACAUGAGUCCAUGUAACCAUUCAGCCUCCGUACCCGUGGCAUCCAAUGCACACAACUCGGCCUCAAACGUAGACCGAGUUACUAUAGUCUGUCUAGUCGACUUCCAGGAUACUGCUCCACCCGCAAGGGUAAACAGAUAUCCAGUCACUCCAUUGGAACCAGACUUCUUAGCUAUCCAACUUGCAUCACUAUAUCCCUCAAGCACACUCGGAUAUCUCCUGUAGUGCAACCCAAGAUAUAUGGUGCCUUUCAGAUAUCUAAGUACUCUAUCUAGAGCAUCCCAAUGAGUUCUGUUUGGACAGCUUGUAUAUCUUGCUAACUUAGACACAGAAUAUGUUAUAUCUGGUCUAGUACCAUUAGCAAGAUAUUGCAAACUACCAAUAAUCUGAGAAUAUCUUAACUGAGACACAGGUACACCUGAAGCAUUCUUGAUAAGAGCAACUUUAGGAUCAUAUGGUGUACUAGCAAUUCUACAAUUUGAAUAACCAUACUUCUCAAGUAUAGAUUUCUCUAUAUAAUGAGAUUGUGACAAGGUUAUUCCCUCAGUUGACUGAGUCAACUUGAGUCCAAGAAUCACAUUCGCCUCACCCAUGUCCUUCAUUUCAAAGUGUUUUUUCAAGAAAUUCUUUGUCUCGUUAAUAAUCUCAAUAUUGGUUCCAAACAGUAGUAUAUCAUCCACAUACAAGCACAACACAAUAUGUUCAUUUCCUUUAACCUUAUAGUAGACACACUUGUCAUUAUCAUUAACUAUAAAAUCAAAAGUCAAAACAGUGUCAUCAAACUUUUUGUGCCAGUCUCUAGGUGCUUGUUUCAAGCCGUAGAUGGAUUUGACUAACUUACAUACUUUGCUCUCAUUGCCAGAUGCAACAAAUCCCUCAGGCUGAUCCAUAUAAAUCUCUUCUUCAAGAUCACCAUGAAGAAAAGCUGUCUUUACAUCCAUUUGAUGGAUGAUAAGACCAUGUACGGAAGCCAAUGCUACAAGCAUUCGGAUCGUUGUCAAUCUUGCAACAGGAGAGUAUGUAUCAAAGUAGUCAAUACCUUCUCUUUGCCUAAAACCUUUAGCAACCAAUCUAGCUUUAUACUUAUCUAUUGAGCCAUCUGGUUUCAUCUUCCUUUUGAAGAUCCACCUACAUCCUAUAGUAGAACACCCAGGAGGGAGGUCAACCAACUCCCAUGUUCCGUUAGAAACAAUAGAGUCAAUUUCACUCUUCACAGCGCCUUUCCAGUGCCUAGAUUCCGAAGAAUCCAUGGCUUGUCGGAAAGUCAAAGGUUCGUCCUCGACAUUGUAAGUGAUAAAAUCACUUCCAAAGUCCUUAACUACCUUUGCACGCUUGCUCCUUCUAGGUUCCUCAACUUCAUUAGGAGUAGAGCUACUAGUAGGAUCUGCCCCCACAUUUGUCAUCUUUUCCACAUGAUCGGGAAUAGAACUAGAUGUGUGAGUAGGAUCAUCACUAGAAGAACUUUGAGGUAUACCAGUCUUCAUAGGGAACACAUCCUCAAAGAAUGUUGCAUCACGAAACUCAACUAUCGUGUUUGCCACUAUACCAUCUAUGUCAGAUUUUAAUACUAAAAAUCUCAUAGCUGUAGUGGUUUCGAGAUAGCCCAGAAAGAUACAAUCAACAGUUUUCGGCCCUAGUUUCUUUCUCUUGUGUUCAGGGACAAGUACCUUCGCAAGGCACCCCCACACACGAAGAUACUUUAGACUAGUUUUCCUGCCUUUCCAUAAUUCGUAAGGUGUCUUGUCCAUAUGUUUCAGAGGGACUCUAUUCAGAAUAUGGCAAGCCGUAUUCAGAGCCUCCCCCCACAUGUACUUAGGCAACCCCGAAUUAAUCAACAUACUGUUAAUCAUAUCUUUAAAAGUUCUGUUCUUUCGUUCUGCCACCCCAUUAGACUCAGGUGUAUAUGGUGGAGUCACCUCAUGAAUUAUACCAUUGCUCUUGCAAAAUUCAUUAAAGGUGUUUCCCGUAUAUUCACCACCUCUAUCAGAUCUCAAACGUUUAAGUACUUUACCAGUUUGUGUUUCAACUUCAGUUUUAAAUCUAAUGAAUUUUUCAAGUGCUUCAUCUUUAUGUUUAAGCAAAUAAACAUAACAAUAUCUACUACAAUCAUCUAUAAAGGUAAUGAAAUAUCUACAGUGUUCCUUAGUCAACACACCACCAAAUUCACAUAUGUCCGAGUGCACUAAAUCUAACAAGUCAGAAUCCCUAACCACACUAUGAAAAGGUUUCCUUGUUAGUUUAGCUGUCACACAUACUUGACAUUUAGUUUUCUUAUCAAUGGCAUGCUUUGGAAUCAACUCUAAGUUCAUCAUAUUCUUUAGAGCACCAAAAUUUAAAUGACCAAGCCUAGAGUGCCACAAAUCGGAUGAUUCAAUAUUAUUAACAGAAGGAGAAGCAAUAUCAUUAAUAAAACCGCCUAAAACAGGCUCCACAUUUAUUAAAAACAAGCCGUCUGACAAGUAGCCCUUGCCAAAAAACACACCAGUCUGAGUAAUAACUACUUUAUUACACUUUAAAGAAAGUUCAAAGCCAUUUUUAACUAAACAACUUCCACUAAUAAUAUUUCUACGAAUCUCGGGAACAUGAUGCACUCUAGUAAGGGAUAGAACACGCCCUGAAGCAAACUUCAGGUCCACGUUUCCUAUUCCACGAACUUGAGCCGCACUAGCAUUCCCCAUCGUCACUGUCAUCCCAUGAGCCUGUUGAUAAGAUACAAACAGAGUAAUAUCAGCACAAAUGUGCACAUUAGCUCCCGUAUCAAUCAACCACUCAUUAGACAGAUAAGUGGAAAAUAGUUCAGGGUUGUACUUAACAUACCCGUCAUUGGUUUCAGAAGCAACAGCCUCACCAACAACCAUGUUAAGCACAGGCCCAUCAGUGGUUCCAAGCACAGUAUUUGCUUGUGCUACCACCUCAGCUUUCUUUGCUUUCUUUACAGGACAGUCCUUACUCCAAUGACCAACCUGUCCACAAGACCAACAUGGUUUGUUGGCCUUUGAUUUCUUAGCCUUGCCCUUGUCAGUUUUGGGCUUAGUGUUCACCUUCUUAGCGACAGACUUUCUUUUCUGUCCCACAGUCACUACAUUGACCUUCGAGCUACCAGAUUCAGUUGGCAUCACAUGUCCCUGUUUGGACUUGUGCUGCUCCUGCACAGAGAUGUCCAGCAUCAGGUUAGUCCAAGUGAUCUCUCCCUUCUGCCUUUUCAGGGAGAGUGCAAACUCUUCCCAAGACUUAGGGAGUUUUUCAAUCACAGACAUAACCAAAAACUUUUCAGGAAGGUCCAUUCCGGACUCCUUCAAAGCAUGCACCAACGUCUCAAACUCAUGCACCUGCUCAGUCAUGGAUUUUGUAUCCACCAGUUUGAAGUCCAGGAACUUAGCCACAGAAUACUUUUCCAACCCUUGCGAGUCAGUAUUGUGUGUCUGAUCAAGUUUCUCCCACAAGGUCUUAGCAGUGUAGGAGUCAGAUGAGUAAACAUCGAACAGAGUGUUCGUUAAGGCUGCUAGAAUAGCAGCCCUAGCCACCCCAUCCUUUUCCUCCCACAUAGCAUAGGCCUUAAGGGUUUCAGCCUUUUCCUGUACCACAACUGGUUUCUCAUACUGCAACACCGGCCAUAGACCCUUAACCGUAAGCCACAGUUUCAUCUUUUUCUGCCAACGAGAAAAAGAAACUCCCCCACCGAAUUUAUCAGGAAUACCUGAUAAAUCAAUGGGCUGUGGAAAACGAUACGUAGUCCAAUCGAUGUUACUAGUAACACCAGACCCAGAACCAGCACCACCACCAACAACAGAAUCCGCAAUCUCAUUAACCAUCUUGCUUACUACACAAUAUAACAGAUAAUCACUUCAAGAUUGUUGGGAGUCACAGUGAAAAUCACAGCAACAAUGUAUAGAGCAGUUAUAUUAUAUAAACAAGUGUAGGCCAACGAAACCACAACAAUAUAGCAUGCACGAAGAUCGUAUAUACAAUAAUCAGUGACUGAUAAAUUACAAGAAAAGAAGAGAAAGGCGCACCUUACACCGUCGCUAGAAUUAGUAUACAGAACAGCUGAGUCGCCUAGCCCUUCGAUGAAGACUAGACUGUUCUUGAAGUGAUUAUUGCCCCACUACGCUGUGAUGGGUAGUCGCAAUAUCGCUCCCAGGAUAAAACAGCACAGACCGAACCGCUCACAGACACGAGUACGAUCAACAGCGAUCAACACCUCAGUUCGCCCGAGAACAGUAUGUAUAUGUGUAUAUAUCGGAGUAGAUGGUGAGAGUGUAAGAGAGAAGAAUGAGAAUGGUGUUUGUGUUUUUCCCGUGCUCCAACUCAAGUGUCGAGGCUCACUAUUUAUAGUGAGGCCAAGGCACCAACACACCGUCCAGAUUCAUCUGUCCAGGUUCAAUGAAUCUGUAUCUGUCAGACAUUCUGACCAGAUUCAUUUGUCCAGGUUCAAUGAAUCUGUAUCUGUCAGACAUUCUGACCAGAUUCAUUUGUCCAGGUUCAAUGAAUCUGUAUCUGUCAGACAUUCUGACCAGAUUCAUUUGUCCAGGUUCAAUGAAUCUGUAUCUGUCAGACAUACUGACCAGAUUCAUUUGUCCAGGUUCAAUGAAUCUGUAUCUGUCAGAUAUACUGACCAGAUUCAUUUGUCCAGGUUCAAUGAAUCUGUAUCUGUCAGAUAUACUGACCAGAUUCAUUUGUCCAGAUUCAAUGAAUCUGUAUCUGUCAGAUAUACUGACCAGAUUCAUUUGUCCAGAUUCAAUGAAUCUGUAUCUGUCAGAUAUACUGACCAGAUUCAUUUGUCCAGAUUCAAUGAAUCUGUAUCUAUCAGAUAUACUGACCAGAUUCAUUUGUCCAGAUUAAAUGAAUCACAUUCUCAUUUCAAGCUCUUUCAAGCCACUGUAUUCAACUCUAUUUCUCAAUGGAUUUCACUAAGAAAAUGUCCCGGAAAUUACAUCAAGAACAUAUUAAAAAAUAUGCUUUAAACUUUCCAUUUUCUAACAUUUAGUUGUCAAGAAUAUUGGUGUAUCAACUUAGGGCAUUGCUCAAAAAAAAUUUGCCAUCUUAAAUUAAUUUGACAUAGAAAUUUUAUGUAACUUACCGUCGGGAAGGGUGAUAAUUCUGAUGGUUCCAGGUCCACCAUCUCCUUUAACAUCGACACUCUUGUAAGCUCCGGGAGCAGCCUUGGGGAUAACUGUAUCAACAUCAAGGACUAUAGCCUGGAAUAUUUUUUCUGCUGACACGGACGAACUGAUCUCGAGUACAUGGCUCUGGGCACCCAUGACUAUCGAAAAAUGAUCACUGAAAAUAAGUUGCAGAAAGAGAGCUAAAGGAAUUAGGCUGUAAGACUAAUGUGAUGAUAGUAGAACACGAAGAACACCUAUUUAUAGUGCGAGAACAUGAGCGCUGAGACGUUGAUAAUUUGUAUUAAUAUGAUAGUGCAUGGUUUAUUCUUAUCCUCAACGUAAUUAAAAAAUCUAUUUAAAAAACAAUACCAAUCGACAGACAAAAAGUUAGUGCAAUGUUUGUUAAAAAUUAAAAAGUUAAAUUCUAGAAACCAUUUGCUAUCUUUAGUUUCAAAGGUCAAUUAAUGUGCACCGGGUGAAUAAUGUUAAGUAAUCCAACAUGGGUAGAAGGUUGUCGUGUCGUGUAUUUUGUAAAAAUACUAAUUUGUUUUAUGUUUUGUAAUGAGUUUUAAAUGUAAACACAAUAUCAUUUAUCGUUUUCUUUUUCAAAAAUCAAUAUGUCAAAUUAUCUGAUAUCUAUUCCAGGCUGUAGCAGUGGCAUCCAUGUGUAUCCAAGAGGAGGGUGCUGCCCGUCCACCAAUCCGUAAUGUGGUAGCUGCCUUGUCUAAUCUUGCGAACCACGCUUAUGAGCUAAUUAGCUCAGCAACUGGACAGGACUCCAGGGAAUGUGAAAAUAGAGGUGAUGAAAUUACAGAGGCAGUCUAGAUUCUUUAAGACUGAUGCUGGGGCGUAUCAGGUCCCAAAUGGGACUUAGAAGGUUUUGGAAAGAAUUGUUAGAAAAUCCUGCAGGACCGCAACUUGUUUGAGGGUAAUGAUAAAAGAUCUCAGAUAAUUUGGAGAUUAGAUUCUAAGCCACGGGUCGUAAAAUCGUUUCCAGGACAACUGAGCAAAGAUGUCUCAAACACUCAAGUAAGACCUUCCCAAACGUAAUAUUUCUAUUUGUGCAUGGAUGAUUUCACCAGUGCCAUGUUUUUUGCUGGAGGUUAAAUUACCCGGUAACUCAAGUUUCUUGAACAUAUAUUUGUGUUCUGACAAAUAUAAAGAUACGACUACAUUAUUAGUUGUAUAGGUGAAUAAAUAGAUCAGAAGUCAUAACUUACAUAGAUAGACCGUAGGGGAUCUGGAAUCAAGUUGGGGGUUGGGACUUGGGGGAUAGAUCUUGAAUCUUAAUCCAAGUUAAAAAAGGUAAGAAAUCUUGAAACGAAUUAAUUAUGUUAAAACACACUACUUAGCAUUUGUGGAAAAAUUCAUAAAUUAUACGCAUUGGACCCUAAUCCCGGACACUCUCGGUGGGCCUGCCAGGCUGCCACUGAUAUUUUCCAGAAUAAAAAAAGCUUCGAUGCAACUUUAUCGGUGAGUCAUCGGUGAAUAGGAAUUAAUUGGAUAUUAAUUAAGUUAUUAGUGAGAAUUAAUCAAUUUAUCGAAUAAUGAAUAGGGUGUUUGGAACGACGACUUCUGGGCUUAGAAGCUCAGAAGCCCGUUUCAACUUUUUGUGGUAUGUUUGGCAACCGUCCUGAAGUGGUUAAUCAAACCAAAAAAAGCUCAGAAAAAAAGCUUCGUUGCCUAGCUUUUUCUUCAUACUUGGCUUUUUCUCAAUACUCAGCUUUUUCCUUUCACUGGCGCUAGAUUACGAUGCAUUAGUAUUUAGUCUAAAAGUAAUUCGCUGCAAGCUAGUAAUUGCUAUCGUUUUUGUCCAAUAAUUUUUUUAUUUUAACUAGUUGAGAAUCCGCGCGUUGCGGCGGCCUAUAAAAAUUAUAUUAAUGAUCCAAUAUUAAUAUUUAUAGAAUAAAAUAAUUUUAUGACUGUCUAUAAAAAGUAUAUUAAUGUUUCAAGUUAAUAUUUGUACGAUUAAAUAAAUUUAUAUUAUAAAAUUCUCGAUGUAAUACAAAUACUAAUAUAUAAAAUUGCAAAAUUGGACUAUAAUUCAUGGUGAAAAAAUGACAAUAAAUUUAUACACGUAAAUAACAAUUUAAAGCGUGACGAAUCUUAAAAUUUUAUUUUUUUUUUGGAAAAGUAAUCAUGUUCUUACAUUGUCACCUUCCUCUAAUUUUUUUAGAUUGAUUGUGCACAAAAACAUUUAACUUAAAUAUAACUACCCUCUUAAAAGUUGCUUGAACGGAGCAAACAUAUAAUGCAUGAAUAAUUUUUUCAUGUAUACAAAGUAAAUAAUAUAAAAAUUAACAACAACAAACAUGUCCGAUGAACAAAACAAAUAUUAUAAAAGAAUAACCAACAAACAUACAUCAUUAAUAGUUAAUUAAUUGACAUCAACCAUCGAUAUCCUAUCAAGACUAUAUUCUUUCCCCGUGUUUGGAUUUGUCGACUCCAAUAUAACGGUCUAUAACUACAUUUGCUUGCAACAACCUUCACUGUAACAGCCUUCACUUAUCGUUGCAGAAUAACGACACCUCCGAGUUAAAAAUCGAGCAAGAGAAAGGUAUUUUCAAUUUUUGAUAUUUUUCAUCCAAUAAUUUCAGAAAAUUAAAAAAUAAAACGGAGCGAUGUGAGAGGCACCACCUACACGCCCCUCGCUUCUCCUUUAAAAAUCGAGUAAGAGAACUAUCGGGUAGAUUUGUGGUAUUGAGAGAGGAGGUUGUGUUUUGAUGAUCCAAAAUAUUACGAUCUAUACGGGUAUUUAUAGGUGGAGAGAGACUUGUUUGCUACUCUUUCCCAUAAUUAAAUAAUCUGCACAAAAUCAGAUUAAAAUUUUCAAGCUACUAUAUUCCAUAAAUAAUCUGUCUUUCCCAUAAUUGAAUAAUCUGAAACAAAAUCAUAUUAAAACUUUCAAGAUACUAUAUUCCAUAAAUAAUCUGAAACAAAAUUGAAACAAAAUCAGAUUCUGAAACUUGCUUCUAAUAUACCCGAAACUAAAAAAGGUAGUUCUAAUUUUUAAUAUUUUUCAUCCAAAAAUUUCAAAAAAUUAGAAAAAUAAAACAGAGCGAUGUGAGAGGCGCCACCUACACGCCCCUCGUUUCUCCUUUAUAUAAGUAUAUUGAUUUUUCCUAAACUAUUUCAUAUAUUAAUAAUAAAAGAUACCUUUUUACUUGUAUUAAAUGAAUAUAAGUUUUAAAUAAAGGAUUUAUCUUUUUACUUGUAUUAUCAGCAGUUAUUAUUUUUUUUAAUUAGUGCGGAGUUUAAAAUUUUGUAUUUAUAAAUCUUUCAUGUAUUAAUAAUAAAAGGUCUUAUAUUAUAAUAAUUUAUUUUUUAAAAGAAACAAAUUAUUAUAUUACAAAAUUACGAAACUAUACCAACUUAUAAGUUAUGUUAUCCAAACACUUAAAAAAUUAUAAGCCACGGUAUCCAAACACUUUUAAUAGCUUAUAAGUCCAGACCAACUUCUCACUUAUAAUCCACUUCUUUACUUUAAGCAAUAAGUUACUUCUUUUAAGCCCAGCCAAACGCCCAUUAACCGAAAUUAUAAGCUCACCAUCAAUCUUAUCUUCUUCUUUUUUUUGACAGAAACAUCUAUCUUAUCUAAUAUUAUAAAAAAAAAAAAAAAGCAUUGGUGAACAUGAAUUAAUCGAUUAAAGAUGUUUUAUGAUCGUGUUUGCAUGGUCUUAAAUUCAGGUUUUAAGGUCAUUUUGACUUUGAAUUUGAAAAAAAAAUCGUUUAGUGAGUCCGAAGUCAAUUUAAAGUCAGAAAUUGAUUUAAAACUAAAAAUUAAUUAAAAUUAUUUUUUCAGCGAUUCAAUUUUUUCAACCUGUUUUGAUAAAAUUUAUCCAUAGACACAUAAGUUACUUAGAAUUUAUUUUUAUUUUUAUUUUUAUAAUUCCUAAACUAUUAAUAUGUUAAAAUUAUCUAAAUAAUAUUUUAAAAUUUCAAUUUAUCACGACGUGAAAUUAGAAUUCGCAAUUGUGCCAAAUGCCUUUACAUGAGAAAUGUAUAGACAUGUAUAAAUGGUUUAUGGUUAGUGAAAGUUCUAAGAAAGAGUCCUUUAAUAGGUUAAACAGAAGACAAUAGGUUCUCUCUGCAUACGCGUUUCUUAGUGUGGAUAAAAUCCUCCUAUUUCCCCAACACACUCUAUGCAUCCAUUAACAAAAAUGGCUUUCGACAGCACUAGCAAAGCAGUUGCGAAAGAGGCAUGGUCUGAACUAGUGCAUUCACUUCUGUCGUGGACUCCCUCCACUGAUAUGUCCAUGGUAUAUUACUACACUAUACCAGAGGACCACUCGAACCGCUUAGAUUUAUACAAAUAUAAGCUAGGUACCGAGAACAUCGAAGCCAGAAUUAAAUCUGGUCUGCAUUCUCAACUGGUGCAGCCAAAUUACCAAGGGAUCGAGCAUAUUCGAGAUUGUAUACGAUCAAGUAAUGGUAAUUAUGUGGUGAAAGCAGGGGAGCGUGAAGAUGAGCAAGGGAUUGAGUAUGUUCGAGUUUGUGUGAGAUCAACUAAUGAUUAUCAUGAUGUGGAAGUAAGUGAAGGUGAAAAUCAGCUGGGGAUUUCGGAUAUUCAACCUUGUGUGAGAUCCACUAAUCGUUAUUCUGCGGUGCAAGUAGAUGAACAAGGAAAUCAACUACUAAUGAACAGGAUCACCUACGAGCUAGUGAAAAUUAUGGCAACUUUAUUUGAUGACUUGUUCAAUUUCAUUGAGAGUUACAACAUGCACGGGGUAGAGAAGCCAACACUGCGGUUUCAAGUUCUGGAAUUAAUUAAGCUUUUACAUCACUAUGGAAGUGAUACUAUUCGAAGCGCAGUGGAGGAAGAACUUGAGUAUGUGAAUGAGAAGAAUUCAGCAACACAGUACAAGAAAGCUCUGGAAGUAAUGUUGAGAGUAUGCGAUACGGGGAUAAGUCAAAGUAUUUUUUACGAAAUAAUAGAAAAGGCAGAAACGGAUCAAGUGCUCUAUGAAUGGUGAGGAAUAAAUGGAGUCGUGCGGGUUAGCUUAAAAAAAAUGACUUCUUUCUUAAAAUAAAGAAUUGGAGUAGAAGUGAGAAGUAAAUUAAUAAUUAUAAAUUAUUAACGCAUUUGGAAAAGAAGUAGAAGUUGUAAAGAAAAACUAGCAUUUUCUAUUUCCAACUUCUUUCUCAUGACUUCUUAAAAAUACUCCUUACUUCUUCACGCAAGGAAAGUAGAAGCAGAAAGCUGGAGUUACUUCUUAUAAGAAUGUUUGUACUAAAUGAGAAAUGAGAAACACAGAAUUGAGAAUGAAUAUGAUUAUUGGUUUAAUAAUAGUGCAUAUUAUUUAAAAAGAUCGCAUACAUUACCAGCCAGAUGAAGUUAUUCAUCACAAGUCACAACAAAGUACAAAGAGAAAGUUGCAAUUCUGUCACUGACUGUCACUCACUCUGUAAAUUAUGAAGUUGCUCGAAAACAAAACACAAAAGAAAACGUUGCAAUUCCUCCGCUCUCAUAAAAUUACGAAGUUGAGAGCUCAGCUUAAUUAGCAAUGAGGUAGGCCUCAAUAGCCUUGAAAAGAGCAGUGUUCUGCUCAUCAGCAAACUUGAUGUUCUCCUCAGGAACCACGGCAUCGCCUUUGGUGUGGAAUAUGGCAGUGGUCUUAGUAAUGCUACCUCCGUCAGCAGUUGGCACAACGACCAUAUGGGUUUCAAUGGAUUCGAUGAAUCCUAGAAGGAUGUCUCCAUCAAUGACUGUGGAAUCGUAUGUCAAGGCCUCCUUGUUCACUGCAUCAGUUCUAACAGUCAUUGUGGUGAUUGGGCUACCUGCAACAGAAUUAUAUAAAAAUUUAUUUAAUGUACAAUUUCAGGAAAUAAUCACCUCAAAUCAGUAUGAUAUCAGAAAUGAUAUAUCGAGAAGAAUUGGAUAUAUAACUAACCUUCGGGAAGGGUGAUAGUUCUGAUGGUUCCAGCUCCACCGUCUCCUUUGACAUCAACACUCUUGUAAGCUCCGGGGGCAGCCUUGGGGAUAACAGUAUCAACAUCAAGGACGAUGCCGCUGAAUAUUUUCUCUGCUGAGACGGAAGAAGUGAUCUCGAGUGAAUGGCUCUGGGCACCCAUGAUCUUUAGGAAGUUAUUGCUGAAAUUUAGUAGAAAGAUUAAGCUCAAGGUUUAUGCUGGAAGAUUGAUGUGAUGAUAGUAGAGCACCAAGAGCACCUAUUUAUAGUACGCUAACAUCAAUGUUGAGGUGUUGAUAAAUAUUACAAUAAUGCAUUUUUUUAUUUUAAAAAGUUUAGAAAAGGAUUCCAAUCCGUUGAAAGAAAAGUUAAAGCUGUGUUUGUUGAAAUUUCAAAAGAUGUAUUCUAGAAGGGUCCUGUUCCUUGACAACCGGUUGUUAGAUAAGGGUUAUCUAACACACUGUACGGGGGCCGUUGGAUUUAUAUUCCAAGGGCUCAGAUUCAAUUUUGGGUUUUUAAUGUAUCCGCGGUUAUUUUCCGCGGAAGGGAAAACUCCCUAUCCGCGGUUAUUUACCGCGGAAGGGAGUUUUCCCUAUCCGCGGUUUUUUAUAGCGGAUACAUUAAAAUCUCAGAUUGGAUCUGGGCCUUUGAAAUAUAGAUCUAACGGCCCCCGUACAGUGUGUUAGAUAACCCUUAUCUAACAACCGGUUGUCAAGGAACAGGACCCAUUCUAGAAAGCAUUCACUAGUUUGAGUUGAAAGGUCAUAGAUGUACACUGGACAUACAUUGUUCAAACAAUCCAGUGUUGCUCAAUAAUUUAUUUAAAAUUUCUGACACAAAAAUAACUAUUUAUUUAAAAUUUUAAAUCUUGUAUUAAAAUUAUUGAAUUAUUUGUUUUUUUCAAAGAGAGAUUGUCCUUUUUAUCAUUGGUAGAUAUUUUAUCUCAUUGAAUUUGUUUUAACAAGGUUUUAAUGGAUGAGUAAGUGAUCCCUAUUAUAAUGACAAUCCGAGAGACAUAUUAUAAAACGAUUUUCGUUUUGCGUCAAUCACAUACAGUAUUAUACUCAUCCUUGUAAAUUUUUAGCCCUGUAUAAAAUUUCUAUAUGCUCCAGAUCAGUUUACAUUACUUAUAAAGAAAUGAGCUCACAACAACUAAACACACAGCAGCAAGCUCUUGUUUUUACUUGCUUUCUGUUUACUAACCUCUCUUACUUAUUACUAGUAACUUAAUUAAUAGCUCUAAUUCUAAUGUCAUGGUAGAUCCUAUAUUAUACUCCCUCCAUCUCAUUUUAAGUGUCCUGUUUUGACUUUCAACGGUCAAAUUGACCAACUUUUGACCAAGCAUAAAGAACAAAUUCGUUAUUAUUUUAAAAAACUAAAAAUUACAUUUUAUAGUAUAUUGUAUGUACUUUAAAGUGACAUAAAUUUUUUUAUUUUUAAAAAUUAUAUUAUAUGUGUAAAUCUCAGUUAAAAUUUGGUCAAUUUGACCAUUCAAAAGUCAAACAGGACACUUAAAAUGGGAUAGAAGGAGUAAUAAUUAUCUAUUUAUCACUGACCAAGUCUAGGCUGUUCACCAGCGUCCAUUUUUGACCUAAGUCUCUUGUCGUCUAAAAGUAUUACGAAUAUCCUCUUGUAAGUGUAAACAUAUAUACUGAUGACGUUUGACUUUUUACACGUGAUUUUGGGGGCUUUGACCGUAUAAGAAAUAUUAAUAUUUUUGCAAUUUUUUCUGAAUAAAAAUAUAACAUAAAUAUGUUUAUUUAUAAAAAAAAUUAAAAAAUAUUAAUUUUAAACAUGUGGUCAAGCCUCCCAAAGAUACGUGUAGAAAAUCAAACGUCCUCUAUAAUGGAUUAGAGGGAGUAACAAACUGGUUAAACGGGAAUUUUACUUAUCCUUGGGUGGGCAUUAUUUUACAUAUAAAAAACAUUUUAAGAAGCAUUCGGACAAAAGUAUAGUAGGUGGAUAGAGUGUUGUGUCGGGUUUUGUCAAUGUUGAGGGCUGAGUAUGAGCCACUUGUUCUUUGUUUAAAGACUCACAGUACAAUGUGUAUUAACCUAAGUCGUCCUGCAUGCGAAUUUGGUUAAAAUAGAGGUUACCAAAUUAAAAUAUAUUAUCUUGGAAGACGGUGUUCACCGGCCAGGUAAAAUUAUUAGAAUUUGUUGACACGUUAAAAAAUAGGAAAAUGCUAGAUGAACAGAAUUGGGUACGAAAGCAUUCAUAUAAUGAGUAUGUGUCAACUUUUAAUUGAAAUGGACCCCCUGUAUAUGCAUUAAUAGUACCAAUCAAAACUUUCCACCUCAGUUGCCAUAUCAUUUUGUGCAAAAUUCUGUACCCAAUUUUGUGCAUGUUAGCACUACUCUAAAAAAUAACCCAUGUUCACGUAUUGUUAUCCUAAAAUUGAAAGAUACAUUUAUGAAUGAUCUUGCACACAUGCCCCGUUUCAGCUGAUAUAAUUAUAUAAAAAUGAUAUUUUAACAACGGUUUUUCUAGUGUGUGCCUAUGGGCACAUGCUAAGCGCGGAAUUUGAGAAGUUUGGGAGAUUUUGAUUGGCUCUCAUAUCUUAAUAAUGGUAGACCCUCCUGCAAAUAUACCAACCACACCAAUCAAAAUCUCCCAAACAUAUCAAAUUCCGCGGACGCACACUGGACAAACCCUUUUAACAAAACUAAAUCGCACUGAAAUUUUGCUAACAGAGUCAGUUUUCUACACACCAAAAAGUUUCUAGCAUUAUCCUCAUCUGAUCUAGACACAUGAGUUUUUGUGCAUAUCUUUGGGGGACCCUGCUCAACUGUUUUGCUACUGUGAUUUAAAGAACGGGCCACGCAUAUUAAUCUUUUCUUUAAGUUUAAUUAUAUACAAUUCUAGGCUCUUAUCUUGCUUGAUAGGAACCUUGGUCCCUGGUAUGUGUAUAUCAAAAGACUUAUAUAACAUACAGAAUUUUUAUUGCAACAAAAUCCUGUUAUGUUUAGUGGUUUUCGUAAAUAUUCACUUAAGUUUCAAAUGAAAAAAGUUCAGGAACAUAAUGAAAUUUUGUUAUAAUUCUACUCGCCGGAUAUAUCACCCAACGGCCAUAUUUGUAAUCGAAAAAGAAUUUCUAAAUGCCCUGUUUGGAGAUUAGCUGUUAGCGGUUAGCUGUUAACGGAUUAAAUUAGAUAUUUUGACCAGCGGAUUGAAAUAAAUGUUUUGAGUAGCGGAUUGAAUUAGCUGUUAGGCAAAAUAAGUUUGUAAAGAUUGCCAUGAAGUUUACCAAUCCCCAUCACCCUCUUCAUAGGGUCCUGAACAAUACAGUGAUGAGCAUUAAAGUGAACUUCAAAAUUUGAUGAGGAACUAAGUUUACUGAUUGACACCAAAUUAAAGUGAAAAUCAGGAAUGUAUAGGACAUCAUGAAGGAUUAACUCUGAAGUUAACUGAAUUUGUCCUUUAGUCUUGACAUGUGCAAUGUGUCCAUUUGGAAGGCAAAUGUUUAUAUCACAAACAAUAGGAUUAAUCAGCAAAGUAUUGUGACAUGUUAUGUGAUCAGUUGCUCCAGAAUCUAAUACCCAAUCCAAGGAAGUAUGACAACUAGCCAGGCAAAUAGUAGUCAUUGAGGAGCAGUAAUUACCUGACUGUGGAGGAUCACCAGAAUGAGAGUUAGUAGAAUGAUUGAGAAGAGCAAGCAGCUGGUGGUACUGAUCAUCAGUGAAACCUGCAGAGGAGUUACUUGCAGACUGAGCAGUAGAGUUAUCUCCAUUAUCACCAACUUUGUUGACCUGAGCAAGGACUUUAGAACCAGAGUUUGGUUGAAACUUAGGUUUGCCUGCUGGUUGUUUUGCUCUUGGAGGAAAUCCAAUGAUAUGAUAGCAUCUCUCCCUGGUAUGAUUAGUUCCAUGACAGUGAGUGCAUUCCAUUGUGCCUUUCUUUGUCUGAGACUUAGGAUUUCCAGAGUUUGACUUCUUGAAGUUGGAUUUGUUUCCAUCAGUGACACUUCUAGUCAUGAGAACAGUAGAUUCUGGUACAGAUGUAUUGAAACUUGAGUAGUUUCUCUGCCUCUCAUCUUGCUGCAAUAGACUAAGUGUUUGUGUCAUCUUUGGAAGUGGAUCCAUCAUGAGAAGUUGACCUCUUAUAUUUGUGAAAUUCUCAUUGAGUCCCAUGAGAAACUGAGUAACUUUCACUUUCUCUUCAUAUUGCACAUUUUCAGACUUAGCACUACAAGUACAUUUUGGAGCAUUUGAUGCACUAACCAUAUCAUCAUAGAGUUUCUUGAAUUUUGUAUAAUAUGCAGAAAUAGUCAUAUUUUCUUGAACUAGACUAGCUAGAUCCUUUCUGAUCUCAAAGAACCGUGGUCCAUUGUUUUGAGUAAAUCGAGAGUGCAGAUCAGACCAUACAACAGAAGCAAGUGUAUCAUACACUAAACUAGACCUAAUUUCAGGAUUUAUGGAGUUCAACAACCAAGUGAUGAUCAUGUCAUUGCAUCUCUGCCAUGAAUCAAAGUAGGGAGAGGUAUUACCUGGAGUUUUGUAUUUUCCAGUGACAAGCCCUAACUUGUUCUUUGCAGAGAGAGCACGACUCAUAGACCUUUUCCACUCAUUGAAGUUAUCACCAGUAAGCAAUUCAGCGACAAGUAUCUGUCCUGGAUGAUCUGAAGGAUGCAAAUACAGUGGAUGACUUGAUUCCAAGCUAAUUGUAGUGAAAUCGCCAUCAAAAUCUGUAACUGUUUCUUCAUUAUCAGACAAAUGCGACGCCAUUAAACUGUUUGACAGAAUGUUUCAAAGAGACUUUAACACAGAUCUAUCUGAAUUGCUGCGAUUUACAACAACUCAAAUGUACAACUACGUGAACAAAGAUUGAGUGGUGGAGAUGAUGAUUGAGCGAUGGAAAUAGCGUUAGCGAUAAAGGAAGUAGCGGUGAGUAGCGGUGUUGUGCGAUGGUGAUGAACGAGUGUGUGCGGCGGAGACGAUAACUCGAGGAAAUUGCGGAAAAACGAGCGAACCUCGCUCUGAUACCAUGAGAAAAUUCUAAAUGGAAAGAAAGAAAUUUCAGAGAGUAAAACCAAAAAAAAAGUGUAUUCAUCUCUGAGCUAUAGCUCUGUUUAUAUACAAGAGUGCACAACUGAAUUCUGUUACACAAGUUCCCGCUCAACUAACAAACUUGAACAGUAUGAAAUGACUAAUAUGUCCUUAAGAUAUUUCUUGUAUUCUUAUUCUGCCCUUGUCCUUGCUGGCUUGUAUCUGUGGUAUAUUCUCCUCAAUAAAACUGUUUGGUUAAUAGCUGAUUGAUUAGUUUUUUCUGAUCCAAACCAAAACUUCUAAUCCAAAAAACUCCUCAAACUAUCUUUUUCAAAAUUAGCUUUUUGGUCUAAACCUCUAUAUCAAUCCGCUAACUACCAAACAUUUAUAUUAGCGGAUUCUAGUUGUCAAACCUCUAAACCACCCCAAAUUUCUAAUUUUGUCCCAAACCUCUAACUUUCAAAUAGGGCCAAAAAUUCUUAUGUAGCUCUCUCUUUUACAAAACCUUUGUUCAACAUGCGAUCGAGGUGGUCAACAACAGCGUCUAGAUGCCACCCACCAGUUAUCAGGCUUAGUGUUGGACGGCCAACCGAGGAGAAUGUUUGCCGAGUCUUAUCAUUCUCACUUAAAGAAAUACUACUCACUAAUUAGAUUUAUCUAUUUGGGGCACUGGCUUCUUUUUUUGUCAUCGUUCAUUUUUUAAGUUCUAUAAUCUUUGUAAUUGUUAAAUAUUAUUGUAAAUGCUUUUCCAACUUUUUAACUUUUCUGUAUAAAAUAAGCUUUUACGAUCAUAUUUCUCUUAGAACCCAUAGUAAUUUAACCAAGAUUCAGCGGCAGAAUUUGCCUUAUUUUGUAGUUUUGUAUUCUAAGCUGAACUUUUAUUUUGUAUUGAAAUCAUGAGAUAUUUUUUGAAUUUUAUCAGAGAUUUUUUGAUUAUUUUAAAUUAUUUUGACAAAUCAUGAUAUAAUAAAAUAAAAUACUUAUUAUGAAUUAAUCCGAAAAUAAUCGAAAAAUCAGGAAUUACUAUCCCUUAUUCCCUUGGAAUAUAGUAAGAGCAUCUCCAGCAGAGUCCUAACAUAUUCCCUAAAUAUAUAAUAAAAUAUUCAUUUUUUAAGGGAUCACUACAUUUUAUUGAAUCGAAACUCCAACAACAUUCUCUAUUUUUAUUCCCUAUUAUUAUUAUAAUAUUAUUUAUAUUCAACUUGUAAGUAGGAGAGAGAAAGGAGGGAAAGAGGGAGAAAAGUAGAGAAGUGAAUAUUUUAUUUUUCAAAAUAGUAUGAGGAAUGGUUCCACAAUCCUUAAAAAUGAGGAAUGAAGUGGGCAUCCUAAUUUUUUAAGGGAUGUCAUAUUCCUUAUAUUGAUAGCUUAGUACACCAUAUAGGGAAGCUGAGAUGCUCUUAAUACACAGCAGACACGGGUGGAGCCGAGGUUAGUGGGACCAACCAACUUUUAAUAUUUGCUAAUUUUGAAAGCAGGAUCCUCUUCACAAAUGCUGAUGCAGGAGUUAACCUCCACCGGAGUUGCUCUAACAACUCAGCAACGGCGGGGUCUCCAGCCUUGUACUCACAAAUCAAAUGUGGCAUUACUAGCUAGAGAGACCGAUAAAGUCCAGAAGUAUGCAAACAUACAUCAUUAAGGUUUGAGGGAAUAACAUUUUUAGCUAAUAAUUUAAGUAAAAUAGUAACGCAUAGACGAUUCAGAAAGAUUACAUCAAUACCGGUAUUUUAUUUCAUUUAAAAAGAUUACAAACGUUACAGAAUGAAGUUGCUCAUUAAAACAAAGUACAAAAAAAAAAAGUUGCAAUUUUGUCGUCCACUCAUAAAAUUAUGAAGUUGAGGCAUCUCUCCUUCUCUUCCCAUAAAUUUAAAAACGACAGAUUAUUGUAACACGGUGGAGAGUUCAGCUUAGUUAGCAAUGAGGUAGGCCUCGAUAGCUUUGAAGAGAGCCGUGUUCUGAGCAUCUGCAAACUUGAUGUUCUCUUCAGGAACCACGGCAUCGCCUUUGGUGUGGAAUAUGGCCGUGGUCUUGGUAAUGCUACCUCCGUCAGCAGUUGGCACAACUACGAGAUGGGUUUCAAUGGAUUCGAUGAACCCUAGAAGGAUGUCUCCAUCAAUGACUGUGGAAUCGUAUGUCAGGGCUUCCUUGUUAACUGCAUCAGUUCUAACCGUCAUUGUGGUGAUCGGGCUACCUGCAGCAGAAUUAUAUAUGUAUUCAAAAAAAAUUAUUUACUGUACAAUGUCGGGAAAUAAUCCCCUUCAAAUUAAUAUGAUAUCAGAUAUAAUACAUCGAGAAGAUGGAGUUGGAUAUAUAACUAACCUUCGGGAAGGGUGAUAAUUCUGACGGUUCCAGCUCCGCCAUCUCCUUUGACCUCGACACUCUUGUAAGCUCCAGGGGCAGCCUUGGGAAUAACUGUGUCAACAUCAAGGACAAUGCCGCUGAAUAUUUUCUCCGCGGAGACUGAAGAAGUGAUCUCGAGUGAAUGGCUCUGAGCACCCAUGAUAUUUAGAAUGUUUUUGCUGAAAAUUAGUGGAAAGAUUAAGCUCAAGGUUUGUGGUGUAAGAUUGAUGUGAUGAUAGUAGAGCACCAAGAGCACCUAUUUAUAGUACGCUAACAUCUCAAUGUUGAGGCGUUGAUAAAUAUUAUAAUGUAUUUUUUAAUUUUAAAGUUUAGAAUAGGAUUCCAAUUUGCUGAAAGAUAAGUUAAAGCAAUGUUUGUUGAAAAUAAAUGUACUCUAGAAAGCAUUCACUAGUUUAAGUUGAAAGGUCAUAAAUGUACACCGGACAGACAUUGUUCAAACAAUCCACUGUUUGCUCAAUAAACUUCCCCUGCUCAAUAACUAAAACGAAUUUUCUAUGGUGUGUCCAUGGACACGCAAUAGUCACUAACUUUCAUGAAAAUACUAGCUUUUGAUUGGUGGAUGAGUAAUAAAUGUUAAUAGUCCCUCUGGAUUCACACCAAUUCCACCAAUCAAAACAAGCUUUUUUCAUGAAAGUACGUGCUUAUUGUGUGCUUUUGGGCACACAUUAGAAAGACCGUAACUAAAAAUAAGUUGUAAAAAAACUACAAGAAUUUAAUUCAACUUCUUAUAUACAAACUUAUAAGUUAGAAAUUGAUUUAUUAAUCUUUUAUAUAAACAGUACCAAUAAAAUGUAGCUAUUCUGUUUUACUCAUGUACUAAAUUUGUAUAUGCUCUCUUGAUCAGUUUAUAUUGCUUAUAAAGAAAUGAGCUCACAACAACUAAACACACACCAGCAAGCUCUUGUUUUUACCUGCUUUCUGUUUACUCACCUCUCUUGUCAAUUAGUAACUUAAUUAAUAGCUCUAAUAUUGUUACCGUAGAUAUUCCUAUAUUACAAUAAUUAACUAUUUAUCAGUGAUUAAGUCUAGGUUAUUUACCAGCGUCCAUUGUUGACCUAAGUCGCCUGCCGUCUAUAAGUAUCACGAGAACUAACUUAUCUAGUAGUAGGUCAUGUAAACAUAUAUACUAACAAACCAAUUAAAACGGAGUUUUACUUAAUUAUACUUAGGGCUUUUUUUUACACUAGUAUAAAACAUUUUGAGAAACAUUCGGACAAGAGUAUUGCGUUGGAUAGGGUGUUCUGUCCUGUUUUGUCAAUGUUGAGGUGCUCGAGUAUGAAAUAACCAUUUAUUUUUUGUUUAUAGAGUCACAGCAUAAUGUUUAUUAUAAUUUGAUUAUAAAUGAAUUUAUAAUUUUUUUUAUUUACCUAAUCUAUAGUAACGACAUUCCACAAACGCGUCGCUAGUAUUUUAGGCGUCGGCGUUCUAAAACAUAAUAAUAUAAGAGGUCCAGUCCAAUUGCAUUCCUAGCUGGUCGACAUUUCAAUACCCGACACUAUAACUAAUUUAAGACAUUGGCAUUCUGAAGCCAGACGCAUAUAAUGGUUUAAUGUCGGUUAAAUAUGGAACGGAUGCAGAAGGUCUAGAGAAAUUGUCAAUAUGUGUCGGUUAAGCCAGCACCCGACACAUAUGACACAUAUGUGUCAAUACGGUCGAAAUUAUAUUUCGGUCGAAAUUAGCCGCUUUUCUUGUAGUGUGAGGUGUCUAAGACGACGGUUUCUUAUAGAACCGACGCAGAAAGUGCGACGCAUAAAAUCAAUUUUAUACUGGCGUAUAAAACGUCUGCAUGUGAAAUUGGUUGAAAGAGAGCUAACAAGAUUAAAAUAUAUUAUCACGAAAGACGAGGUUCCCCGGUAGGAAUGGGCAUCGGGCCCCUUCGGGUCGGGGAUUGCUAUACCCGGCCCCGAUCCCCGAAUCCAAACUCAAUCCCCAUCCCCGGCCCGAUCCCCAUCGGGGAUUAUUUUUCGAUCCCCAUCCCCGGCCCGAUCGGGAUUCGGGGAUACCCGCGGUGAUUCGGGGAUUUUUAAUUUAAGCUAAAAUUUCUAUUUAAAUACUUAAAUUCAUAAUUACAAUUAGUUUCUAAUAUGUCUAAUUAAUACCUAAUCAUUUUAAUAAACAGAUCUUCAAUGAUUUAAUUAUGACCUUUUUAGUUUUAAGACUUAUAUUAAUAGAAAUAAUUUUUUUUUUGAAACAAUAGAAAUAAAUAUUAAAAUUUAUUUCAAUAAAUUUAAUUAUAUUAAAGAGGUAUAUAAACAUGUUAAUAAAUGAUUAUAAACAUGUGAAAAUCCAUGACUGAAGUUGACCUAAAGAGGUAUAUAGCAUGUUAAUAAAUGAUUAUAAACAUGUGAAAAUCCAUGACUGAAGUUGACCUAAAGAGGUAUAUAGCAUGUUAAUAAAUGAUUAUAAUAUAUAUAUUUAUAUAAUAUAUAAUAUAUAAUAUAAUAAUCGGGUCGGGGAUCGGGUCGACAAUCGGGGAAAAUCGGGCCGGGGGAAUGUUAAAAACCGUACCCGAUCCGAUCCCCGAUUUUUUUUCAAAGUCAUCCCCGUUCCCCGGCCCGUACCCGAAAAAAUCCCCGAAUCCCCGCACCAUUCGAUGCGGGGAUCGGGUCGGGAUCGGGCGGGUCGGGAUUAAUGCCCAUCCCUAUUCCCCGGGCAGGUAGAGAAUUACUCCCUCCGUCCCUCCCAUUUCUUAUCGAAUGGGUUGGGCACGGAGGUUAAGAAAUAUGAAUAAAGUAGUUCAAAAUAGAAAGAAAAGUGGGUGAAUUGGUGGGACCCACUAAUUUUUAAUGUAUAAAAGGGAGAUAGUGGAGUAAAAGUAGUGUGAAAAGAAAAGAAAAGUGGAGAAGUGGUGGGACCCAUUGACCAUAUUUGGUAAGUUUUGAAAUGUAAAGAAUUGGAUGGGACACCCCAAAAAGGAAAGUGUAAAGAAAUGGAAGGGACGGAGGGAGUAGCUUAUUACUGUAGAUCAUAACCCCAUAGUGUCAAACUUCCGCAAAGCAAACAAUUUUCAAGCAUUAUCCGAAUCUGAUCUAGACAUGAGUUUUUGUGCUCAAACUGUCUUGCUAAUGUGAUUUAAAGAUAGCAAGUCCAAGAGAAGCCUUAAAUCAUGUCCAUAAUCAAAAUUUAGGGCAUUUGAUAAAAAGGAUUGUUCCAACAAUGUCCUAGUGAUGCCUUGUAUCACUAGUACAAUCCAUUUAAGCCCUAUUUUUGAGGCAUUCUCUCUCCUUGCCCUAUCCCAUAUUUUAUAAUAAAUUCCUACAAAUACUCUCUUUCUCUCUCUACUUUAUAUUAUGUUUUAAUGAUGAAAGUGAACUUUUAAUAAUAAAAUAUUAAACAUAUAGUGAAAAUAAGGCACAUUGUUGGAGUUGAAGUUGGUAGAAUAUGUCCUAAACUACUAGGACAUAAUUUUUUAUAUUAUAUUUAGGGCUCUAACUAGGACACUGUUGGACUUGCUCUAAGUAAAUAAUAACACUAUAGAAAACUUUUAUUGAACAUGCGAUGGAGGUAGUAAACAACAGCGUCUAGAUGCCAAGAAUAGACCCAUAUAGGGGGUGUUUGGCAAACCGACUUCGGAGCUUUUUUAACAUAGAAGUCGACUUCUACUUAAAUGGAGGUGUUUGGCUAAUUAUGAGAAGCACUUAUAUUGAAGCUUAAAAGCCCCAAAAAAGAAGUUAGGAAACCUAGCUUAUUUUGGGGAUUUAGCUUCUUCUAUCACUUAUAAUCAAUAUAUAUUCAAACACUUUUAAUAACUUAUAAGUCCAAAUCAACUUUUCACUUAUAAUCUACUUAUUUAUUUUAAGCAAUAAGUCACUUUUUUUAAGUCCAGCCAAACUGCCCCAUAGUAAUAAAACAUCAUUACAAUUAAUCACCAGUUAUCAGGCUUAUAAGGGUUGGAUGGACUAACUGAGGAGGUUUACUGAGUCUUAUCAUUCUCACUUAAUGAAAUAAUUAAAUUUAUCUUUUUGGGACACUGCAAGCUUCUUUUUUCUGUCAUCGACUCAUCGUUCAUACUACAAAUUCUUUACUCUUUCUAAUUUCAAACCGAAACUUGAAAUUAAUUAAUUGGGAUGACCUAUAUAUCAUUAAGGUUCAAGUGAAUUACAUUUUUAACUAAAAAAUAUAAGUAACAUAUGAAAGCACAGAUGAUCCAGAAAGAUUACAUUAAUGUCGGUACUAUAUUUUAUUUAAAAAGAUUACACAUAUUGUUACCAAAUGAAAUUGCUCAUUAAAACAGAGUACAAAGAAAAAGUUGCAAUUCUAUCGCCCGCUCAUAAAAUUAUGAAGUUGAGGCAUCUUUGGCGCUCUUCCCAUAAAUUUAAAAACGACAGAUUAUUAAAACACGGUGGAAAGUUCAGCUUAGUUAGCAAUGAGGUAGGCCUCGAUAGCUUUGAAGAGAGCGGUGUUCUGAGCAUCUGCAAACUUGAUGUUCUCUUCAGGAACGACGGCAUCACCUUUAGUGUGGAAUAUGGCCGUGGUCUUGGUAAUGCUACCCCCGUCAGCAGUUGGCACAACGACAAGAUGGGUUUCAAUGGAUUCGAUGAAGCCUAAAAGGAUGUCUCCAUCAAUAACGGUGGAGUCGUAUGUCAAGGCCUCCUUGUUGACUGCAUCAGUUCUAACCGUCAUUGAGGUGAUCGGGCUACCUGCAGCAGAGAAUUAUAUAUGUAUUCAAAAAAUUUAUUAAUUGUACAAUGUCGGGAAAUAAUCCCCUCAAAUUAAUAUGGUAUCAGAAAUGAUACAUCAACAAGAUGGGGUGAGAUAUAUAACUAAC
rnacentral:lncRNA from 1 species